AUUGGUGCCUUCGGGAACUCUGACACAGGUGCUGCAUGGCUGUCGUCAGCUCGUGUCGUGAGAUGUUGGGUUAAGUCCCGUAACGAGCGCAACCCUUGUCCUUAGUUACCAGCACGUUAUGGUGGGCACUCUAAGGAGACUGCCGGUGACAAACCGGAGGAAGGUGGGGAUGACGUCAAGUCAUCAUGGCCCCUACGGCCUGGGCUACACACGUGCUACAAUGGUCGGUACAAAGGGUUGCCAAGCCGCGAGGUGGAGCUAAUCCCAUAAAACCGAUCGUAGUCCGGAUCGCAGUCUGCAACUCGACUGCGUGAAGUCGGAAUCGCUAGUAAUCGUGAAUCAGAAUGUCACGGUGAAUACGUUCCCGGGCCUU
rnacentral:rRNA from 1 species